UUCCCUCUUCCAGGAUCCCUCCUCGACCCCGCACACCCCAACACUCACUGGGAGCUGGAGGACGGAGGUGUGGCCUAUGAAGGAGCCUGGAAAAGGGGGCGGGGCCAGGCCUGAGAAGCUACGAGGCAAACCCUACCCCUGGCCCCAGACAAUCCAGACCCCCUCCAGGAAGGCCCGGGGGAACCAGAGAGGGGUCGCAGGCUGGCCGCCCCGCAGAGUCCGGGCACCCCGGGCCUGACCCACGCCCUGCCUGGUGGAGUCACCCCCUGGCCGGGGAGGCUCCCAGACUCAGCACCCACUUCCUGCCCAGGGCGGGGCCUGCGGCCACAAGCCAAGCGCCGUAAAAUUUAAAGAGGUGAGAGAGACACUUCGCAGAAACCUCAGCAGUGCGGGGAAAUGAAAUAAGGCCUCCCUUCGGGGCGCCCGCCCCCGCCUACGCCGCCCCGAGCCCGGAGCCACCUUGGAGGGUCCAGAGAUGAGUGAAUCGGUGCCCCCCUUUGGGACUGCACAGUGGAAUGGGGAAGAUGAGAGUUUGAUUGCUACCAACUUCAACUGUUCUACCCGACCGUGGAGCAUCGUCCAACGAGAAAACUCCAGCACAAAACUUCGCAAACCACUUGUAACACGUUCAAUCAAUCACAGCACCUUCUCCAUACACUGCACAAAUCUUUCUGUGCAUUUCAGUUGAGUUUUUAACCUUUCUUGAAAUAAUAAAGUAUAAUAUGCUGAAAAUGUUGCUUUUUUUCUUCCAUCUUCAAUAUUAAAAUGGC